CCUACGGGAGGCAGCAGUGAGGAAUAUUGGUCAAUGGCCGCAAGGCUGAACCAGCCAUGCCGCGUGAUGGUCAGUGCCCUAUGGGCGUUAAACUUCUUUUGUGCGGGAGCAAUAAUGGUCACGUGUGGCCAGACGAGAGUACCGUACGACUAAGCAUCAGCUAACUCCGUGCAAGCAGCCGCGGUAAUACGGGGGAUGCAAGCGUUAUCCGGAUUUAUUGGGUUUCAUGGGUGCGUAGGCUGUGAGGUAAGUCAGAGGGGAAAUGCCCCCGCUCAACGGGGUGAAGUGCCAUUGAUACUGCCUUGCUGGAAUGCGGAUGCCGCGGGAGGAAUGUGUGGUGUAGCGGUGAAAUGCAUAGAUAU
rnacentral:rRNA from 1 species